rnacentral:tRNA from 1 species
AGUUAAAUACUUUAUAGAAAGUAUUAUGUUUUGAAAGCAUAAUCAAGGGGUUCAAACCCCCUUUUAACUU